rnacentral:rRNA from 1 species
AUGAAGGUCCUCUGGAUUGUAAACUUCUUUUAUUUGGGACGAAAAAAGGGAAUUCUUUCCCUCCUGACGGUACCAGAUGAAUAAGCACCGGCUAACUCCGUGC